rnacentral:rRNA from 1 species
GACGAACGCUGGCGGCGUGCCUAAUACAUGCAAGUUGAGCGAUGAAGAUUGGUGCUUGCACCAAUUUGAAGAGCAGCGAACGGGUGAGUAACGCGUGGGGAAUCUGCCUUUGAGCGGGGGACAACAUUUGGAAACGAAUGCUAAUACCGCAUAACAACUUUAAACAUAAGUUUUAAGUUUGAAAGAUGCAAUUGCAUCACUCAAAGAUGAUCCCGCGUUGUAUUAGCUAGUUGGUGAGGUAAAGGCUCACCAAGGCGAUGAUACAUAGCCGACCUGAGAGGGGGAUCGGCCACAUUGGGACUGGGACACGGCCCAAACUCCUACGGGAGGCAGCAGUAGGGAAUCUUCGGCAAUGGACGAAAGUCUGACCGAGCAACGCCGCGUGAGUGAAGAAGGUUAUCGGAUCGUAAAACUCUGUUGGUAGAGAAGAACGUUGGUGAGAGUGGAAAGCUCAUCAAGUGACGGUAACUACCCAGAAAGGGACGGCUAACUACGUG